rnacentral:rRNA from 1 species
GUAGGGAAUUUUGGUCAAUGGGCGAAAGCCUGAACCAGCAACGCCGCGUGCAGGAUGAAGGCCCUCGGGUCGUAAACUGCUGUCAGGAGGGAAGAACGGCGGUCCGGUCAAUACCCGGGCCGCGUGACGGUACCUCCAAAGGAAGCACCGGCUAACUCCGUGCCAGCAGCCGCGGUAAUACGGAGGGUGCAAGCGUUGUUCGGAAUUACUGGGCGUAAAGCGCGUGUAGGCGGCGGGGCAAGUCGGAUGUGAAAGCCCGGGGCUCAACCCUGGAACUGCAUCCGAAACUGCCACGCUAGAGUCCCGGAGAGGAAGGCAGAAUUCCCAGUGUAGGGGUGAAAUCCGUAGAUAUUGGGAGGAAUACCAGUGGCGAAGGCGGCCUUCUGGACGGUGACUGACGCUCAGACGCGAAAGCGUGGGGAGCAAACAGG